rnacentral:rRNA from 1 species
GAUGAACGCUGGCGGCGUGCCUAAUACAUGCAAGUCGAGCGAACAGAUGAGAAGCUUGCUUCUCUGAUGUUAGCGGCGGACGGGUGAGUAACACGUGGGUAACCUACCUAUAAGACUGGGAUAACUCCGGGAAACCGGGGCUAAUACCGGAUAAUAUUUUGAACCGCAUGGUUCAAUAGUGAAAGACGGUUUCGGCUGUCACUUAUAGAUGGACCCGCGCCGUAUUAGCUAGUUGGUAAGGUAACGGCUUACCAAGGCGACGAUACGUAGCCGACCUGAGAGGGUGAUCGGCCACACUGGAACUGAGACACGGUCCAGACUCCUACGGGAGGCAGCAGUAGGGAAUCUUCCGCAAUGGGCGAAAGCCUGACGGAGCAACGCCGCGUGAGUGAAGAAGGCCUUCGGGUCGUAAAACUCUGUUAUAAGAGAAGAACAAAUUGUAGAGUAACUGCUACAGUCUUGACGGUAUCUUAUCAGAAAGACACGGCUAACUACGUGCCAGCAGCCGCCGUAA